GAAAUUUCUUUUUGUCUCCUUCCACCAAGUUUCAGUUUUACUCGAUUUCUAAAUGAAUCUGAUGAAUCUUAAGUUAUCGUGAGUAAAGGUCUAUGCGAACUUGUCAAGGAAUGACGCAAAUUGCUAUUGGAAGUGAAGACCGGUCACCGGCGCUAGCUGAAGAAAUGCCGACAUGUAUGUGACUAUGGGAGUAGUUUUGGAACCUCCUUGUCCAAAGAACGUUGAUGGGAUUAGUAUUGAUCCUGAGCCUAACUGGAAUUUCCAUAGCUUAGUAUCUGCGUUCGAGUAUGUUGAAAAGAAGCUCAAUGCCUUUUCAAAGUUUCCCCAGCCAAUUACUAACACAACCUGGCGAUAUAUAUCUAUCUCUUUUUCCAUUUAUGAUUAGUUCAUUCUAGAGUUCUGCAUUGAUUUGGGAUUGAUAACAGCGUACUUAGAAAUAUCUAUUUUCAUUGACUUAGCUAUAAUUUAGAAGUAUAGAUUGUUUCUGAUGUUCUUUGAUAAAAAAAAAAUUAUUUCUGAUGUUGAUUGGCCUGUUAAAAGGAUGGGAAGGAGUGAUGAUGAAGAUGAAGAAAGUGAAGAAGAAGAAGAAGAAGAAGAAGAAGAAGAAGAAGAAGAAGAAGAAGAAGAACCUCUGAAUUUUGUUUGGGAAUGUUUACAGAGAAUCUUGUUUGUUUCUCUGAUUUGCUCUCUAGUAGAGAAAUAUAACCACAGUGGAAUCUAACGAGGAGCGAAGAUAUGCGUUGACAAGGCUAAGAAUUUGUAUCCGAACCUUGAUUGGUUUGAAGUUAACUUUGUUACGAGGUUGUGCUUUCAUCUUGGGAGUCAGUCGUUGAGUUGCAGCCAAGACUAGAUGAGAUAUCGAAAUGCCCUUGUGAAGGAAUGACGGUGACUGCCGCUGCUUCUCCAGGUUCUACAUUUGAUUUCUGUAGCCGCUACUUUGCCCCUAGAUUUGGGAUCAAUGAGGACCCUAGCUAUGAACAAGUGUGAUUUCUUGGCCUACCAGCACCAAAGAAUAAUAGAAGAUUCAGAAAGAAUGAAGCACCAACCGUAAUUUCUCCAAAGCAAUAUAAGAGAAGAUUCAGAAAGGCAAAACAAUGACUACUUACUUCCUCAUGGUCAUUGUACAGGAAUGUCAGAGCUCUAGUUAGACCAGAUGCUACCGAAGAAGCUGACUCUGUCGGCGAUGGGGCUUUGCCUUUUCCUAACCACGUUUCUGUCCAAAUCCCCUUCGGCAAUAGAGAGAUUUUAGUAGAGACUGGUCUUAUGGGGAGACAGGCAAGCUCUGCUGUAACGGUGACAGAUGGAGAAACUAUUGUCUACACAACCGUUUGUCUUGCUGAUGUUCCCAUCAGAUUUUGCUUCCCCUUUAUGUUCACUAUCAGGAGCGUUUCUCAGCUGUAGGUCGAACUAGUGGUGGAUUUUUCAAGCGAGAAGGGAGAACCAAAGAUCAUGAGGUUCUGAUUUGUAGGUUGAUCGAUAGACCUAUACGCCCCACUAUGCCCAAAGGUUUCUACAAUGAAACUCAGAUAUUAUCCUGGGUUUUGAGCUACGAUGGAUUCCACGCACCUGAUGCUUUAGCUGUUACAUCUGCUGGAAUUGCUGUGUAUAGCUCUUUCAGAAGUACCAAAUGCAAAAGCGGUUGCAGGAGUUCGGGUUGGUCUUAUUGGAGGCGAAUUUAUCGUCAAUCCAACCGUGAAGGAGAUGGAAGAAUCACAACUAGAUUUGUUUCUAUCUGGAACAGACACUGCAAUUUUAACAAUAGAGGGAUACAGUAAUUUCUUCCUGAGGAGAUGCUGCUCCAAGCUGUUAAACUUGGACAGGAAGCUGUACAGGCUACAUGCAUUGCUAUUGAAGCUUUAGCAAAGAAACAUGGAAAGACCAAAAUGCUUGACGCUAUUAGAUUACCACCUCCUGAGCUAUACAAGCAUGUGAAAGGAUAUAUGUCGGACCCUCUUUGGUAUCUGCUGCACUAAACUCUCAUCUUCCAGUCUGUAGCAAAAAUCUACUGCAACAGUUUUAGCUAAAUCAUUCAUGAGAUCGUGCAUUGUAAACCUUUUCUUAGAGUCCACUGACUGGAGAAAAGAUCUAGCAACUAAAUCAUCGAGGUACUUGUUACCAAUGUCUUCCAAUCUUUGGUUGCUCCCGAUCCCGGGUUGGUAUAAGAGGUCAACUGCCAUCCAUAGAAGCACCAAGUUCUUCCUAUCAACCUCGUAACCCGUUGGGAAUAUGGAGCAGAAUGCAAAACAUCGCUUAAGGUGACAAGGGAGAGAAUCAUAGCUCCGCCUUAGAACUUCAAGGACAUCGGUAGUGUAGUGUAAGAAAUUGCUUGAUACAACUUCCCAUUCACUGAGAUCUGGCUUGGAUUGGAGAUGAGUUGCGAUAAAUGUUGCUGCUAAUGGCAAGCCCUUACAUUGUUCUGCGAUCUCUUUGCCAACUCUUUCUUGUUCUUGGUCUAUAGAGCUUACAUUGAUCUGUUGGAAAUGCUAAAGAGAGAAGAGGAAAUGUUCUCUGCAAUAAAGGAAAGACAGUUGAAGGUAGCUUACCUUGGUGUUAGUUCUUUUAAGUUUAAGCUGAUUCACAUUUUAUUUGCUUCUACCACAUUUUUUUACAAGUUCAUUUUGUAUGUUUAUAGAUUGAUUAAAGGGAAUUUGGCGAGAUAUGCCACUUUCCUCAAAAAAAUUGUUAAGAAUGCCACUUUUCCAUUUUCUUAUGAAGAAUGCCAUUUUCGAUUAAA